UGUAAUAAUCUAAACGCUAAUAUAAAUUAAUGUUACGAUAUAUGGCCGCAUCCACGGUGUUCUGCCUUUACCAGCUUAUCAUUGAAGAGUGCUUACACAGGAUUAUUUUCAAGAACUCUGCACGUUCAUGAUUAAGAAGCGGAAAAAUAUUAAAAUAAUCCGCCGUCAAAGAGGGCCUCCACGUCCUGCCAGCGACUGACGGCUCGUUUAUAUCUGUGCUGGGCUUGUGGGAGGAGAUGGACCGUCAUCUGCAGAAUGUAGAUAAUCCAAGAACAAAUGAAAGCUGUUUGGAAAAACAGAACAAAACACUGAGAAACCGAAUGACUCAAAGGCUGCAAGUCUAACGUUUACAGGUCAUUCAUUCGCUAAUAAGGUCGGGGCAUUAGGCUAAGUAAUGUGGACAUUACUGGAUGAGUGGGAUGAAGUUUUCCAGCUGAAAAAUUCCGUGUAUCUGAAAACACUAAAGCGUUGGAAAAGAAAUCUUUAAGUAAUGGAAUUUCUUAAAUAAUGAUAAGGAAAUGCGACCGACGUCAUUUCGUUACGUUAUGCAGCGUCAUUCUCUUCAGCUGCUCUAAUAAUUAAAAUAAAUCACAUUUUAGAGUUGGUCCGGCGUUCAAACCGCCCCCUUUUGCCCCGCUUCUUCUUUUUACCUAACUAAGGUUCUCCAUGACACUAGCAAUUAAAAAGUACUACUCAAAAAUCACAUAAAAUCAAGUCCGAUAACUUGGACAAGCCAAUUUUGCAAUGUUGUAAAAUGAAAAAAAAAGAUGAAAGAUCACUCAGCAACGUGCGGUUCCGCUGAAAGGGAAGCUUGAUGAAGAAUCCAUGGGCUGAGCGCAGACCUUCGCUGCGCACAUGGGCGUCCGUGACUGACACCUGCGGCCACAUCAUGUCCCAUAUGGAAUGAGUAGAGGACAAAAAAGAGAGUCGGUGUUCCUGUGGAUUGCUGUCAUGGUGGAUAUAGCAGGACUGGCACUGCUGAGCCCGGGGACCAAGCUGAGCAGCAAACAUGAAACCGGCAGCUUUUUGUGGCUCCUUUUCCUCCCCCAUCCCGCGCCUCUGACUGACCCCCUUCAGGAGGGGGCCGGUGCUCAGGUUUGGAGAUGUCAGGAUUCCACAGUGACGCAGCGCCGGUGAACUUCCCUUGAAUUGAGGCCCGGCUCUCACGGUCUUCCACGGGUUCGAGGUGUUUCAUGCCGGCUGAGAUCCAAGGCGGCGGAGACCAACUCCGGAAAUGAAAGAUUUAGGUCGAGUCACUUUGUAUAUUAAAUGCGCUAUAACCAGCAUACGGUUACCAUGAGUGAUGAUUGGGAUUAUAGUGUGAAUUACCAGUGCAUGUUUCACAUCAUUACUGCCGAUGGGAUUUUGUCGCAUGAUGGGUCGCACGAGUGGCAGUGGGGUCGCAGAUAUUUGGUUGUAUGGAGCAGAACAUGAGUAAGGAGUUGCAUGUCAUGAGGCUGGGGGCCGGGGGGGGUGGAGUGUUGGUCAGGGUCUCUGUACUUUCUCGUCCUGGAUAGAGUCCCGUUGUGUUACUGACACCCAUGAAGAUCCAUCUAUGUCCAACGUAUAAAACACCUCUGACUGUUAGAUGCAUUUAAAUGUAUUGUCAUCCUUUUACCUCCCUUAGGCCAAGUUAAGUCUGUAAUUUUACUAACUCUUCAAAAGAGGUUUUUAGUAAAGUCAGUCUUUAUUUAUUUAUUUUUUAAUGCUUAUCGUAAGCAUCUUUGCUUUAACUGUUAACUGUAUGUAACAGUUUAGUUUUAGUUAUGAAGUUUUUACAAUUUUGGUGAAUCGGUCUGUUUUAAUACUGUCAUACUCUCAGCCUGAGUACAGCUGUCUGUUUUAAUACUGUCAUACUCUCAGCCUGAGUACAGCUGUCUGUUUUAAUACUGUCAUACUCUCAGCCUGAGUAUAGCUCCAGGUUGCUGGCACACUGCUAAGAGGCAAAAUAAGUAAGAGAGGGUGUCACCGAGGGAGGAGAGUCACACAGCCCCCCAGGGUAAGAAACACCCCCCUUCUGCCUUUUUAUGGAAAGCGUGGUGACAUCAGUAUGCAGAAAGCACAGCCCCUGAGGACCCCACCCCCGACCCACGAGCGAUGAUGCAGGGGAAGCUCCAUGUUGCUUUAAUAGUGGGCGUGGCCAACACCAUCGAGAUACAAGUUGGAGCAGCUCUUGGGAGGUUCUUUGAUGAAUAGGCCCCAGCCUGCCCUCUCCUUACCCUGUGACAUAGUUGGCCCUGGGCCAGGCUCGAUCGGGGGAGUGUCCUGAAUUCCAGCCCACCGCGUCCCUUGCCGGACCGGAACCUCCUUGCUCCCAGGCUGGGUCACCCCUGAUUGACUGCGACCUUUGCUGCGUGUGUCCACGACCUUCAGGCACGGCUGGCUGCCCUUGUCACAUGACACCUUACUGGGGCUCCCCAGACUCCUAAAUUCACCUGGUUACCUUAGUAUUUACUACUAAUGCAUCUGGUCCUUGGGGUAUUUAGGGUGUGUUUUAAUUGGCUCCCUACUGACCCCUGACACCCCAGGUCAUGUGAAUCUGAACAAAUCCCAGGCUGUGAUGAAGCAAAACUUACAAUGGCCCCCACUGAGACGUCUGCCCCCACUGCAGCUCAUAUAACAGCUGGCUGUCAUUCUGAGGCCUGCGUAUAAGGUUCCUUAAGUAUUACGCCACCUGCUGUCCAAGUGAUGCAAAAAAAGUGCCUUAUUUUUGACAACACACUCGUAAUAUACACAGAUAAUAAAUGUAAACUGCUACAA